CUUCGGUGGCUGUCUCUCGAUUUAUCCGUCCCGGACAUUCUGCACUGAGCUCCUUCCCUGGCAGUGAGGGGUUUGCCUCCUUAGACCCCAUGAAGAGCCUCCCUCUGAAGCUCUUGUCCUCUGCUGUCCUCAGGACUCAGCUGAGAGGCUGCUCUCUGGCCUCCCCAGCCUCAGGGGCUCCCUUCCCAGGACCCAGUCACACUCGCCCUGCUACAGGGCUUGUUCUUGGCUGGCCAUCCUUGCAGAGGGCGGGGGCUGCCUCUGCCCUCAGUGGGGCGUGGCCUGAGGGUUCGAGGAGGCCGAGGAGGAAGGCAAGUGGGCAGGCAGGAGUGAGGACACGGGGCUCUCUGACCUGCCGAUGGCCAGCCAGGUGGACGGAGGCCCUUCCCACCUCCUGCAGAGAGCUGUGGGCCUCUGCCUCUCUCAGUGUGGACCUAACAGACCUGAGACCACAGCACGGCUUCUCUUGCUUGGGAAAACCCGAAUUUGCUCAAAUAAUUCCGCCACUGUCUGCUGAGUGCCAGGCACAGUGCUGGGGCUGGGACGAGAAAGGCCCUGCCCACAGCCUCGCCCUGCGGCCCAGAAAACACUUGUAAGGCCGGAGCCCAAGCCGCCAUCUUUUCUGCAGGUGCUGUUUGGGAGAAGGUUCUAGGACAUCUUGGAAUCGUUAGGCUCAGCCACGUGGAUGCAGGGAAUGCUGUGCACCUGCGGCCUCCAGACCCCGGAACGGCUCUUGUGGGCCUCAUCAUCUCCAGGCUGAGCCAUAAGCUGUGUCCUCCUGGGAACACAGACUUUCUCUUCCAACAUCAUGGGCCAUGAGGAGCAAGAGGUGGACGGAGAGGUGGAGAUGGCACAGGAUGGAGAAAAUCAAAGCAAAGCAAAAGAAAAUUGCUGCUUUGCAGAGAGCCUGCAGGAGUUCUGACGAUUUGGCCGUUAGCACGAGCUACCUGCCCAGAAAGGAAGCUGAGAGAAGGGCCUUCAUAAAAGCAUGGAGCAUGCCUCGAGAGCGCGGACACACAGCUCUAUAGGAUCCAGCGUCUUUCUCAUCUCCUGGAACAGCCGACUCUUCCACCACGGGUGCAGAGCCCUCACCAAAGGCAAACACUUGGGAUGGUGGGGCAGGGGCAGCCAGCAGGGCAAGGAGUGGCCAGUGGCAGGAGCUGCAGCAGUGGUGCUGGGCAUGGCAGCUGCGAGUCCCUGAGACCUCCC
rnacentral:lncRNA from 10 species